rnacentral:lncRNA from 1 species
GUGUGUGUUCUGUACGUGAUCAGGGAAGGCUCUAGAGAGCCAAACCCUAGUUCAUCAUAUAUCAACCAAUUGAAGCAUGAAUCGAGGCUCAAAUUCAAGAAGGAACAUGAAUUAACGAUCACCCAAGCUAGGGGAUCAUAAGGAAUCAUGUCAAGAUGGAUGGGAGCUUUGAAGGCUAACGGGCUAAGAGGACUCAAUCAAGUAAGCGAACGAGAAUACGGACGCGCAAGGCUAUACAUGUUUGGAUGUUUCAUCUAGAAGUGUACGCGGUUGGAGAUCGAGUCAAGACACGGAUUGUAUGUGGGUGUGUACGUAGUCACAUAAUUGAGACAUGUAUGUUAGUCUUUGGAUUAAUUUAUAAAAAGAGAUUAAUGUAUUUAAAUGAAAGAAAGAAUAUCUUGAAGGAAUAUUUU